rnacentral:rRNA from 1 species
ACUAACGCUGGCGGCGUGCCUAACACAUGCAAGUCGAACGAUUCUUUGAUUAUAGCAAUAUUAUUAAAGAGGAGUGGCGAACGGGUGAGUAACACGUAGAUAAUCUGCCUUCAGACGGGGACAACUCAGGGAAACUUGUGCUAAUACCCGAUGAGACCACAAGAAGGGAUUUUUGUGGCCAAAGGCGGGCAGCAAUGCUCGUGCUGAAAGAUGAGUCUGCGUCCUAUCAGCUAGUUGGUGGGGUAAAUGCCUACCAAGGCUAAGACGGGUAGCCGGCCUGAGAGGGUGAACGGCCACACUGGGACUGAGACACGGCCCAGACUCCUACGGGAGGCAGCAGUGAGGAAUUUUCCGCAAUGGGCGCAAGCCUGACGGAGCGACGCCGCGUGAGGGAUGACAGCUUUCGGGUUGUAAACCUCUUUUAUUAAGGAAAAAGAUCUAUAUGCUAAUAUCAUGUAGAUUUGAUGGUACUUAUUGAAUAAGCCCCGGCUAACUACGUGCCAGCCGCGGC